rnacentral:rRNA from 1 species
UACAGAGGGUGCGAGCGUUAAUCGGAAUUACUGGGCGUAAAGCGUGCGCAGGCGGUUUUGUAAGCCAGAUGUGAAAGCCCCGGGCUUAACCUGGGAACGGCAUUUGGGACUGCAAGGCUCGAGUGCGGCAGAGGAGACUGGAAUUCCUGGUGUAGCAGUGAAAUGCGUAGAUAUCAGGAGGAACACCGAUGGCGAAGGCAGGUCUCUGGGCUGACACUGACGCUCAUGCACGAAAGCGUGGGGAGCAAACAGG